AACAUAGUCUAUCGGACCUGG
rnacentral:miRNA from 1 species